rfam:Gossypium arboreum cultivar AKA8401 contig_830_7, whole genome shotgun sequence.
UGAUACAAAAUUUUAUUUAUUUCUAUUAUUAAAAAAUGGCGGGGCUAACAAAAUAGUUAGACAAUUACAAUGGUGUGCCACAUGUAUCUCAUUCUAACAUACAAAGACCAAUUUUUAAUAGUUGAAAUGGAUUGAAUUUUUAACA